rnacentral:rRNA from 2 species
AAAUUGAAGAGUUUGAUCAUGGCUCAGAUUGAACGCUGGCGGCAGGCCUAACACAUGCAAGUCGAACGGUAACAGGAAGCAGCUUGCUGCUUCGCUGACGAGUGGCGGACGGGUGAGUAAUGUCUGGGAAACUGCCUGAUGGAGGGGGAUAACUACUGGAAACGGUAGCUAAUACCGCAUAAUGUCGCAAGACCAAAGAGGGGGACCUUCGGGCCUCUUGCCAUCGGAUGUGCCCAGAUGGGAUUAGCUUGUUGGUGGGGUAACGGCUCACCAAGGCGACGAUCCCUAGCUGGUCUGAGAGGAUGACCAGCCACACUGGAACUGAGACACGGUCCAGACUCCUACGG